CGCACGACCACAAGCUGCCAAAGAUGACUAGCUGCAAUUGCCCGAAUAGAAUCAACAGCAAACUCAAAUGAUCUUUUGUGAAAUUCGGAUGACUCCUUUAGGCCCUGAAGCAUAGCUUCAAUCUUAUCAGCCUCGGACUGUGGAAGUAAUUCUUCUCCAAUCAGGUUUGCAUCCACAAAAGGCUCCUUCUGGAAGGGAAAACGUCCAGAAAAUCCAUGAAUUUUCUGGGCACCUCUAGGUAUCUGCUGGUUAUGUAAAGGAUCCCUAAAUUGAAA
rnacentral:misc_RNA from 1 species